CUUACUUCGUUCGGACCCCACAUUUCAUCUGAGGAGACGAAUUUCAGCACGGAGCAAGUUCGCUGAAAAGCAUCUAUGGAUGAGUUUGUCAGUUCCAACUUGACUGAGUGGCAGCUACAGGGGCUGAUUUGAAAGAUGCCAGGGGAGAAGUCGCCCUGACGCUUCUGCCCAUCCUGCUCCCUCCGCCUGUGUUUAAAAAGGGCAGGAAAUUGGUCCGGGCGAGUAUUCAGGAGGUGAAGAGAGCCUUCCUCGAUGUUAAGCCCGUCGGAGCUAACAUGGUGGAAUACUUGCAGCAGGCAGAAUCGCCUACCCAUUUGUGCUGCUGCUCACAGAGCCUCUUGUUCUAUGUAUAUAUCACUCUCUCAUAGCUGUCCCCCUCACUUGUUCUUAAAAUGUUAUUUUUUUUGUACAUAAUUUGUUCAUAUGUGAAGGAAAUGUUGUGAGCUGUUAUAUUUGUAUGUUCUGGAA